rnacentral:rRNA from 1 species
UGGGGAAUAUUGGACAAUGGGCGCAAGCCUGAUCCAGCCAUGCCGCGUGAGUGAUGAAGGCCCUAGGGUUGUAAAGCUCUUUCACCGGUGAAGAUAAUGACGGUAACCGGAGAAGAAGCCCCGGCUAACUUCGUGCCAGCAGCCGCGGUAAUACGAAGGGGGCUAGCGUUGUUCGGAUUUACUGGGCGUAAAGCGCACGUAGGCGGACUAUUAAGUCAGGGGUGAAAUCCCGGGGCUCAACCCCGGAACUGCCUUUGAUACUGGUAGUCUUGAGUUCGAGAGAGGUGAGUGGAAUUCCGAGUGUAGAGGUGAAAUUCGUAGAUAUUAGGAGGAAUACCGGUGGCGAAGGCGACUUUCUGGACUUGAACUGACGCUGAGGCACGAAAGCGUGGGGAGCAAACAGG